ACGGGAGGCAGCAGUAGGGAAUAUUGGUCAAUGGAUGGAAGUCUGAACCAGCCAUGCCGCGUGCAGGAAGAAGGCCUUCUGGGUUGUAAACUGCUUUUGCCAGGGGCUAAAAAGCUCAUGCGUGAGAAAUUGAAAGUACCUGGUGAAUAAGCCACGGCUAACUACGUGCCAGCAGCCGCGGUAAUACGUAGGUGGCAAGCGUUGUCCGGAUUUAUUGGGUUUAAAGGGUGCGUAGGCGGCUUUGUAAGUCAGUGGUGAAAUAUGGCAGCUUAACUGUCAGGGUGCCAUUGAUACUGCGGAGCUUGAGUACAGAUGAGGUAGGCGGAAUUGACGGUGUAGCGGUGAAAUGCUUAGAUAUCGUCAAGAACACCGAUAGCGAAGGCAGCUUACUAGGCUGUAACUGACGCUGAGGCACGAAAGUGUGGGGAUCAAACAGGAUUAGAUACCCUGGUA
rnacentral:rRNA from 1 species